rnacentral:rRNA from 1 species
GACAGAGGAUGCAAGCGUUAUCCGGAAUGAUUGGGCGUAAAGCGUCUGUAGGUGGCUUUUAAGUCCGCCGUCAAAUCCCAGGCUCAACCCUGGACAGGCGGUGGAAACUACCAAGCUGGAGUACGGUAGGGCAGAGGGAAUUUCCGGUGGAGCGGUGAAUGCGUAGAGAUCGGAAAGAACACCAACGGCGAAAGCACUCUGCUGGGCCGACACUGACACUGAGAGACGAAAGCUAGGGGAGCGAAUGGG